rnacentral:rRNA from 1 species
AGAGUUUGAUUCUGGCUCAGAACGAACGCUGGCGGCGUGGAUAAGACAUGCAAGUCGAACGAGAGAAUUGCUAGCUUGCUAAUAAUUCUCUAGUGGCGCACGGGUGAGUAACACGUGAGUAACCUGCCCCCGAGAGCGGGAUAGCCCUGGGAAACUGGGAUUAAUACCGCAUAGUAUCGAAAGAUUAAAGCAGCAAUGCGCUUGGGGAUGGGCUCGCGGCCUAUUAGUUAGUUGGUGAGGUAACGGCUCACCAAGGCGAUGACGGGUAGCCGGUCUGAGAGGAUGUCCGGCCACACUGGAACUGAGACACGGUCCAGACACCUACGGGUGGCAGCAGUCGAGAAUCAUUCACAAUGGGGGAAACCCUGAUGGUGCGACGCCGCGUGGGGGAAUGAAGGUCUUCGGAUUGUAAACCCCUGUCAUGUGGGAGCAAAUUAAAAAGAUAGUACCACAAGAGGAAGAGACGGCUAACUCUGUGCCAGCAGCCGCGGUAAUACAGAGGUCUCAAGCGUUGUUCGGAAUCACUGGGCGUAAAGCGUGCGUAGGCUGUUUCGUAAGUCGUGUGUGAAAGGCGCGGGCUCAACCCGCGGACGGCACAUGAUACUGCGAGACUAGAGUAAUGGAGGGGGAACCGGAAUUCUCGGUGUAGCAGUGAAAUGCGUAGAUAUCGAGAGGAACACUCGUGGCGAAGGCGGGUUCCUGGACAUUAACUGACGCUGAGGCACGAAGGCCAGGGGAGCGAAAGGGAUUAGAUACCCCUGUAGUCCUGGCAGUAAACGGUGCACGCUUGGUGUGCGGGGAAUCGACCCCCUGCGUGCCGGAGCUAACGCGUUAAGCGUGCCGCCUGGGGAGUACGGUCGCAAGAUUAAAACUCAAAGAAAUUGACGGGGACCCGCACAAGCGGUGGAGUAUGUGGCUUAAUUCGAUGCAACGCGAAGAACCUUACCUGGGCUUGACAUGUAAUGAACAACAUGUGAAAGCAUGCGACUCUUCGGAGGCGUUACACAGGUGCUGCAUGGCCGUCGUCAGCUCGUGUCGUGAGAUGUUUGGUUAAGUCCAGCAACGAGCGCAACCCCUGUUGCCAGUUACCAGCACGUGAAGGUGGGGACUCUGGCGAGACUGCCCAGAUCAACUGGGAGGAAGGUGGGGACGACGUCAGGUCAGUAUGGCCCUUAUGCCCAGGGCUGCACACGUACUACAAUGCCCAGUACAGAGGGGGCCGAAGCCGCGAGGCGGAGGAAAUCCUGAAAACUGGGCCCAGUUCGGACUGUAGGCUGCAACCCGCCUACACGAAGCCGGAAUCGCUAGUAAUGGCGCAUCAGCUACGGCGCCGUGAAUACGUUCCCGG